GGGGCAGCGAAGCAGGACUCGGCAUCGCGGGAGCCCUGGGCUGAAGAUGCGGGAGGCCUGCGGGGGAGAAGCGAGGGAGGCGCUUGGGGCUCGGGACUUACACCCAAGACGCACCCUGCCCCUGACUGACUUCGGAAAGGGAAGCCUCUCCAGCUAGUGAAACAUCUGAGGAGAUUUGUUAUGAGGUUGGACAAUAUGAAGAAAGGAAAGGCAUUCAAAUCCCCUAUUGUAUGGACACUGUGGGCGUACGGUCUCAUCCUCACUAGGGAGCACUAAGAAUCAUGAUGCCUGUGUUAGUCCUGUCGAUGGUCGUGGUCUUGUAGGACGAACGCUGGAUUUAGAAGCAGUUGUGUAAGGCUUCAGGAGCUCACAAUUGUUUGGCCCAAUCAAAUCUGGGAACACUAGAGAAGUUAUCACCCAUCAAGGGCGUGGGCAAGUGCAUGAUCUGGACUGGAUGCUUUAUCAUCCCAUGGGGCAAACAGAUAUGCUUAGAACACAGACUAACAGGAUCUUCUUAGACCCAAAGGGACAUGACUUUUCAUGAGGUUGGGAGAGAAGCUAGUGAUGCAUUAAACCCACACUUUUCCUGCUGCCUCUGCUGCUGCCGCCACUGCUUCUGCCAACACAUACGCUCUUCACCCCCAUGGAGGGGCCCCGCUGCCAGUUCUCCAUCCACUGCCACCAGCAGCAGGAGCCAUGCCUCCACUGCACCUGCUUUAUGUGGCUCUCAGCAACAUCCACCUGUCUGUAAACAACUCUGGGGGACCUUGAGACAAGCUCAUGAUGGCUCCACACCAUGGGCAACUUAUUGGCGGCCCUGUGUGCUGGGACGGGAACCCACUAAAGAAGGGACUGAACAAGGGGUGUUAACAAUGCUUCUUGAAAAUAUGUGGGUUGAAUUGUAACCCUGCAAUUGUGGGGAUGGAUUCUGUGCCUUGUGAAUAACAAAUGUAAUUCCUUUGCUCUGGAGAAUCCCAGCCAGUGUGGUCAAAGAGCAAAAACUUGAAAAAUAUCCUCGGGCAAGCAUAGAGGGGAAGAAGACAGUAAAAUGUUCAGAUGGGAUCGGAAAGAGAGAGACAGCAAGUAGAUUCAGGAAGGUAAUUGGAGUGAGAUUUGAAAGGGAGUUAUCUAAAUACAAACAGCAAAAACUCUGCAGCAAGAAGCACAGAAAUCAAAGUGCCCAGCAGUAGUAACCUGUGUCUGAGACGUGACUACCCACCAUCCCCUAUAGUCGGGCUCUGUCCAAAAGCCAAGUCUCACAGUAGACUUCAAUAAUACAACUGAGCAUAGUACGCAGUAUUGAUGUAUUGAACAUAGUUCUCAAUGAGCAUUUGCCAAAUUUGAUUGAAUUGUCAAUAAUUUGUUCUUGACCCUACAAGACUCCUGUACUAGUGUAGAGAAGUCAUGCUGUUCUGAACAGAAAUAGAUGGGCUUAUGUUACAGGACAGAGGAUUUGGCUGCCAUCAAAGGGAAUUCUUCCCUGCUGUGGGGGAAGUGAGAACAUUAGAUAAGUGGAUUAUCUUUUAUUUUUUGGGGGGUAAUCAUUAUUUUUAAAGAGUUCAACACACUCUCCACACAGGGAAUUCAGAAAUGGAUUAAACUCCAGCACAGUCGUUUAUUUUCCUGAUGGCCUCUUGCAAAGGUAUUUGUUCAAAAAGAGUCGCAGUGGCCAGAUGCUCUAGUGACUGGAGCCCCAGAACACUGGCAUGGACUGCUUCACAGAUUAUGCCCUUGAUGGCUUGAGAAGCUCAGAUGGGACUCUCUUGAUGAGUCUAAUGGAAGCUGCCCUGGUCCUCAGGGCCAGAGAUCCAAGUUUAGGAGAGGGGCGUGGAAUACAGGCACACAUUCUGAAAUGAUAUUACCACAUUCUUGGUUCUUGAUUAUUCUGGUUCUUCUCUUCAGCAUUACAAGGAAUCAUCUUUAGAAAAAGUGGAAGUGUGUACCAAGACUGAGCUGUCAAAGGACUCCUCAGAUACUUGAAAUCAUGUGUUUUAAACAAAGCCAUCUAUGAAGGACUGCCUCAUAUGCAGACCAUUCUGAAAGAGAAUUCCAUUGGAACUGUGUAGGGAGAUUAAAUGAUUAGGCUGGAAAUCCAGAAAGAUCAGAAGUUCAGUCUUUUGCCUUCAAUAAAUCAUACUUAAAUUAUGAUAUCUCAUUAAGAAAGCCAUUAUCAAGAGUGUUGUAGUAUUUUCAAGAAAAAUUUUACUUUAAGGAUGAAAGUUUAGAAUAUGAGUUCUGAGAAUAUGUGAGAAGCAACCAAAUCUCCCAACGGAGCACAGGU
rnacentral:lncRNA from 1 species